GAUGAACGCUGGCGGUAUGCUUAACACAUGCAAGUCGAACGGACUCUUCGGAGUUAGUGGCGGACGGGUGAGUAACGCGUGAGAAUCUGGCUUUGGGUUCGGGACAACCACUGGAAGCGGUGGCUAAUACCGGAUGUGCCGAGAGGUAAAAGAGAAGUUGCCUGAAGAUGAGCUCGCGUCUGAUUAGCUAGUUGGUGAGGUAAAGGCUCACCAAGGCAGCGAUCAGUAGCUGGUCUGAGAGGAUGACCAGCCACACUGGGACUGAGACACGGCCCAGACUCCUACGGGAGGCAGCAGUGGGGAAUUUUCCGCAAUGGGCGAAAGCCUGACGGAGCAGUACCGCGUGAGGGAAGAAGGCUCUUGGGUUGUAAACCUCUUUUCUUAGGGAAGAACAAAAUGACGGUACCUAAGGAAUCAGCAUCGGCUAACUCCGUG
rnacentral:rRNA from 1 species